GCAUAUCAAUAAGCGGAGGAAAAGAAACUAACUAGGAUUCCCUUAGUAACGGCGAGUGAACCGGGAUGAGCUCAAAUUUAAAAUCUGGCGUCUUUCAGGCGUCCGAGUUGUAAUCUAUAGAGGCGUUUUCCGCGCCGGACCGCGUCCAAGUCUCUUGGAAUAGAGUAUCAAAGAGGGUGACAAUCCCGUACUUGACGCGACAACCGGUGCUCUGUGAUACGUUCUCAAUGAGUCGAGUUGUUUGGGAAUGCAGCUCUAAAUGGGUGGUAAAUUCCAUCUAAGGCUAAAUAUUGGCGAGAGACCGAUAGCGAACAAGUACCGUGAGGGAAAGAUGAAAAGCACUUUGGAAAGAGAGUUAAACAGCACGUGAAAUUGUUAAAAGGGAAACGAUUGAAGUCAGUCGUGUGAAAGGUAUUCAGCCGUCUCUGGCGGUGUAUUUGCCUUUCACGGGUCAACAUCAGUUUGAUCCGGUAGAAAAAGGCGGGAGGAAGGUGGCACCCUCGGGUGUGUUAUAGCCUCCUGUCAUAUGUGCCGGACCAGACUGAGGAACGCAGCUUGCCGCAAGGCCGGGGUUCGCCCACGUACAAGCUUAGGAUGCUGACAUAAUGGCUUUAAACGACCCGUCUUGAAACACGGACC
rnacentral:rRNA from 1 species